UACGAAGGGAGCUAGCGUUGUUCGGAAUCACUGGGCGUAAAGCGCACGUAGGCGGACUUGUCAGUCAGGGGUGAAAUCCCGGAGCUCAACUCCGGAACUGCCUCUGAUACAGCAAGUCUUGAGUCCGGAAGAGGUGGGUGGAAUUCCUAGUGUAGAGGUGAAAUUCGUGGAUAUUAAGAAGAACACCGGUGGCGAAGGCGGCCCACUGGUCCGGUACUGACGCUGAGGUGCGAAAGCGUGGGGAGCAACCAGU
rnacentral:rRNA from 1 species